CCUACGGGAGACAGCAGUGAGGAAUAUUGGUCAAUGGACGAGAGUCUGAACCAGCCAAGUAGCGUGAAGGAUGACUGCCCUAUGGGUUGUAAACUUCUUUUAUAUGGGAAUAAAACGUUCCACGUGUGGGAUUUUGUAUGUACCAUAUGAAUAAGGAUCGGCUAACUCCGUGCCAGCAGCCGCGGUAAUACGGAGGAUCCGAGCGUUAUCCGGAUUUAUUGGGUUUAAAGGGAGCGUAGGUGGAUUGUUAAGUCAGUUGUGAAAGUUUGCGGCUCAACCGUAAAAUUGCAGUUGAAACUGGCAGUCUUGAGUACAGUAGAGGUGGGCGGAAUUCGUGGUGUAGCGGUGAAAUGCUUAGAUAUCACGAAGAACUCCGAUUGCGAAGGCAGUUCACUGGACUGCAACUGACACUGAGGCUCGAAAGUGUGGGUAUCAAACAGGAGUAGAUACCCCAGUAGUC
rnacentral:rRNA from 1 species